rnacentral:rRNA from 1 species
UUCGCCCUUGGGCAAGUCUGGUGCCAGCAGCCGCGGUAAUUCCAGCUCCAAUAGCGUAUAUUAAAGUUGUUGCAGUUAAAAAGCUCGUAGUUGAACUUCGGGGUCUACCCAUUGGUCAGGCUUAAUUGUCUGUACUGGUGAGAUGGAUCUCUACCUUCUGAGGAACUUUCAUGCCAUUUAUUUGGUGUGAUGGGAAAUCAGGACUGUUACUUUGAAAAAAUUAGAGUGUUUAAAGCAGACUAUCGUCUGAAUACAUUAGCAUGGAAUAAUGAAAUAGGACGGACUGAUUCUAUUUCGUUGGUUUCUAGGAUCACCGUAAUGAUUAAUAGGGAUAGUUGGGGGCAUUAGUAUUCAAUUGUCAGAGGUGAAAUUCUUGGAUUUAUUGAAGACUAACUACUGCGAAAGCAUUUGCCAAGGAUGUUUUCAUUAAUCAAGAACGAAAGUUAGGGGAUCGAAGACGAUCAGAUACCGUCGUAGUCUUAACCAUAAACUAUGCCGACUAGGGAUCGGACGAAGUUAAUUUUAUAAUGACGCGUUCGGCGCCUUACGGGAAAC